GAUGAAGAACGCAGCGAAAUGCGAUAAGUAAUGUGAAUUGCAGAAUUCAGUGAAUCAUCGAAUCUUUGAACGCACCUUGCGCUCCUUGGUAUUGCGAGGAGCAUGCCUGUUUGAGUGUCAUGAAACCCUCAAACCCAAGUUUUGGAUUUCGAUCCAUGCUUGAGUUUGGAUUUGGAUGUUUGCCGGUGAUGAACCGACUCAUCUUAAAAGUAUUAGCUUGGAUCUGUCUAUAUGACUGGUUUGACUUGGCAUAAUAAGUAUUUUGCUGAGGACAUCUUCGGAUGGCCAGGACCUAGACUACUGUCUGCUAACUAAACCAUCACUUUAAGUGCAUCUUUGGAUGUUACUCAUUGUGUAACUUUGACAUCUGGCCUCAAAUCAAGUAGGACUACCCGCUGAACUUAAGCAUAUCAAUAAGCGGAGGA
rnacentral:misc_RNA from 1 species